UUGCGUUACACCUCCGUUAAAUGUUACUGGACUUAUGCCACUUGAAUUAUCUUUGGAUGGUGGUACCACAUACAAUUACACUGGCACUUUCAGAUCAAUUCCGAUCGGACGAAAUCCUCCAGAUAUCGAAGGGCUUGAAAUGAAGCGUUGGGUAAACUCAACAAAAACAGUUUUGACUUGGGAUAAAAAUGCCAUCAACGCGACCCACAUUGAUAUUGAAAUAUCGCAAUUUGAUACUUUUGAUUUCCGUCUUCACCAUGGGAGCUUGAAAACAUUUAAAAAGGUUCCAAACUCUGGAAAUUACGCCUUUGAUUUUGGCAAGGAUAGCAUUUCCUUGAAUGCAGAAGGGAGACGAAAACGAAGAAAUUCAAAUGCAGGAUCCGAGAUUGCAAUCGUCAGCAUAACGCCAUCGUUAACGAGAAAGAAACGAUUUUUGGGUAAAGUUUUUAAGUUUGUUGCAAGAAGCUUUAGUUUACCAUUUCUAAUAACUUCUUGGCUGGCAAAUGAGGUGUACUGCAGAACUUGGCAUGGAUUUCAAAACAGGGAUAAAAAUAAAAGAUUGCGAGAUGAGUUACCUCCAUGUCCUCCAAGGGUUGAACAGAUAGAAUUUGACGAUCGAUUCAAACCUGAUGAAGCAGGUUUUCUCAGCGGCUUUUUUCAUCCUGGAAGUACGUCUUGUUUCCGCUCAAGGGAAGCUAGUGCAUCAGGUGCAGGUCAACAAUGUUGUUAUAAAGGUGAUUCACUCUUGGUUGGACCUCCUGGCGGCGGUACAUUUGACAUUGUUUCCCCAGAAAGAAGUGUACUGGGCCAUUUAGGACGAGAUGUGCUACCUUGGUUCGCAUGCUGUGUAUUUUCUGUUUUCGACAACUGUGGUAAAUACUAUGAUGCAAGACCCUCUGAUGAUGGUUCAAGAUUCAUACCUCAACCAACUGCUGGCACAAGAGGUGAUCCUCAUUUAUCCACAUUUGACGGAACGUUCUACACAUUCAACGGUUAUGGUGAAUACGUCCUUCUCAAAGUCAGCAAUGGUUCGGAACUCGAGUUUCAAGGAAGAAUGGUACCCAUACUUGAUAACAAAGGAAGAACAACAAGAGCAACAGCCCUCACAGCAUUUGUCAUCAAGGGAGUAACGAGUGAUACUGUGCAGUUCGAGUUCAACAACCGGCGCAGCAUAGACGUGUUAGUCAAUGGUGAACGGGUCGAAUUUGACGAACAAACAAGAUUAGACUUCACUGGAGUCUUUAUUGUUAAACAAAAUGAGUCAAUAUUUAGAACAUACUCCACACCAGGAGUAGCUAUUGUGGUGACAUCUGUAGAAGAUUUUCUUACAUAUCAAAUUUCAGUACCAUCAAGAUUCAAAGGGAAAACUGCUGGUCUUCUUGGAUUUUGGAACGAUGACAAGGAUCAGGAAUUUUUAUUGCCUAAUGGCAGUUUUAUUGAUACAAAUUCAAGUUAUCGAACAAUUCACAAUGAAUUUGGCCAGAAAUGGAUUGUGGACAGGAACAAGACUCUUUUUACGUACCAUGUCGGGAAAAGUUACGAUAGUUUUUCAAAUCCCAACUUUAUUCCGGUCUUUCUUGACGAAACAAAAUCCUUGUUUUCCAAUGCUACUUUGGCGCAAAAAGCAAGGAGUAUAUGUGGGGAAAAUGAGGAAUGUUUGUUCGAUAUUGCUGUAACAGGUAAAACAGAUAUUGGUGAGGCGACGUUGCAAUCCUUUAAUGAAAUACAGAAAAGAAAAAAUGCGUCAAAACUUGUUGCCAAGCGUAUUUUCUAUGGUUGCGAUGGAGUCGAAAACAGUACGAAGAAAGUUGAUUUUUGUGGUGAUUGUGGAGGAGACAACUCAUCGUGCACAGAUUGUGAAGGUCGCAUCAAACCUGGUUUUCUUAACAAUGAAACAUGUGGUUCCUAUCAGCCCUGGAGCGAGUGGAGUACUUGCAUCGGCGAAGAUGAAAAGGGAACGAGAGAGCGAAAUCGAACAUGUUCGAAAAAAGGACAGUGUCUGCAAUUGGGUCAAAAUACGGAACAAGAAGAAUGCAAUGUUGACGCUACAGACUGUGUUGACUCAGUUUUAUCAUUACAACUACUUGACGCUUCUCCCGUAUUAGGUACUGAACUCUUCGAGCUUGAUAACGCAUUCGAUACUUUGAUCACAGCAUUUGCGUCUUCUCUCUGAUAUGCCCUAACGCCUUCGCUUGAACGAUGGCCACUUCUCUUCAUGAUCAUCUUUUCCGCUAAUCCUGAAUCAUACAUGCAGUCCUCAGAAAUAAUGCAGCAACACCGACAUCUUAAGGACUAUAACAGGAAUAGUAUAAAACCAAACAGUCUGA
rnacentral:misc_RNA from 1 species